GAUGAACGCUGGCGGCGUGCUUAACACAUGCAAGUCGAACGGAAAGGCUCCUGCUUGCAGGGGUACUCGAGUGGCGAACGGGUGAGUAACACGUGGGUGAUCUGCCCUGCACUUCGGGAUAAGCCUGGGAAACUGGGUCUAAUACCGGAUAGGACGAUGGUUUGGAUGCCAUUGUGGAAAGUUUUUCGGUGUGGGAUGAGCUCGCGGCCUAUCAGCUUGUUGGUGGGGUAAUGGCCUACCAAGGCGUCGACGGGUAGCCGGCCUGAGAGGGUGUACGGCCACAUUGGGACUGAGAUACGGCCCAGACUCCUACGGGAGGCAGCAGUGGGGAAUAUUGCACAAUGGGCGCAAGCCUGAUGCAGCGACGCCGCGUGGGGGAUGACGGCCUUCGGGUUGUAAACUCCUUUCGCUAGGGACGAAGCGCAAGUGACGGGACCUGGAGAAGAAGCACCGGCGAACUACGU
rnacentral:rRNA from 1 species